rnacentral:rRNA from 1 species
CGUUCCCGGGCCUUGUACACACCGCCCGUCACACCAUGGGAGUCGGUUUUACCCGAAGCCGGUGCGCGAACCGUAAGGAGGCGGACGCCCACGGUAUGACCGAUGAUUGGGGUG